rnacentral:rRNA from 1 species
CAGUCGCCGCGGGAAUACGUAGGUGGCAAGCGUUGUCCGGAAUUAUUGGGCGUAAAGCGCGCGCAGGCGGAUAGGUCAGUCUGUCUUAAAAGUUCGGGGCUUAACCCCGUGAUGGGAUGGAAACCGCCAAUCUAGAGUGUCGGAGAGGAAAGUGGAAUUCCUAGUGUAGCGGUGAAAUGCGUAGAUAUUAGGAAGAACACCAGUGGCGAAGGCGACUUUCUGGACGAAAACUGACGCUGGGGCGCGAAAGCCAGGGGAGCGAACGGGAUUAGAUACCCCUGUAGUCCCUGUCUCUUAUACA